rnacentral:rRNA from 1 species
GUCCACGCCCUAAACGAUGUCAACUGGUUGUUGGGAGGGUUUCUUCUCAGUAACGAAGCUAACGCGUGAAGUUGACCGCCUGGGGAGUACGGCCGCAAGGUUGAACUCAAAGGAAUUGACGGGGACCCGCACAAGCGGUGGAUGAUGUGGUUUAAUUCGAUGCAACGCGAAAACCUUAACCUACCCUUGACAUGUCUGGAAAUCCCGAAGAGAUUUGGGAGUGCUCGAAAAGAGAGCCAGAACACAGGUGCUGUAUGGCCGUCGU